GUGAGGAAUAUUGCGCAAUGGAGGCAACUCUGACGCAGCCAUGCCGCGUGCAGGAAGAAGGCGCUACGCGUUGUAAACUGCUUUUAACCGGGAAGAAACCCCAGGACGUGUCCUGGGUUGACGGUACCGGAGGAAUAAGCACCGGCUAACUUCGUGCCAGCAGCCGCGGUAAUACGAAGGGUGCAAGCGUUAUCCGGAUUCAUUGGGUUUAAAGGGUGCGUAGGCGGAGCGUUAAGUCAGUGGUGAAAUCCUGCAGCUUAACUGUAGACUUGCCAUUGAUACUGGCGCUCUGGAGUGCGCUUGAAGUGGGCGGAAUGUGCCGUGUAGCGGUGAAAUGCUUAGAUAUGGCACAGAACACCAAUUGCGAAGGCAGCUCACUAAGGCGAUACUGACGCUGAGGCACGAAAGCGUGGGGAUCGAACAGGAUUAGAUACCCGGGUAGUCC
rnacentral:rRNA from 1 species